rnacentral:rRNA from 1 species
ACGCUGACGAAUGCUUACACAUGCAAGUCGAUGAUGGGAGCUAGCUUGCUAGAAGAAGUCAUGGCGGACGGGUGAGUAACGUGUAAAGAACUUACCAUAUAGACUGGGAUAACAGAGGGAAACUUCUGAUAAUACUGGAUAAGUUAGAAGUAGCAUUACUAAGUAAUGAAAGGUAGCAAUACGCUAUAUGAGAGCUUUGCAUCCUAUUAGCUAGUUGGUGGGGUAAAAGCCUACCAAGGCGAUGAUAGGUAGCCGGCCUGAGAGGGUGGACGGCCACAAGGGGACUGAGAUACGGCCCUUACUCCUACGGGAGGCAGCAGUGGGGAAUAUUGGACAAUGGAGGCAACUCUGAUCCAGCAAUUCUGUGUGUGUGAAGAAGGUUUUAGGACUGUAAAACACUUUUAGUAGGGAAGAAAGAAAUGACGGUACCUACAGAAGAAGCGACGGCUAAAUACGUGCCAGCAGCCGCGGUAAUACGUAUGUCGCGAGCGUUAUCCGGAAUUAUUGGGCUUAAAGGGCAUCUAGGCGGUUAAACAAGCUGAAGGUGAAAACCUGUGGCUCAACCAUAGGCUUGCCUACAAAACUGUAUAACUAGAGUACUGGAAAGGUGGGUGGAACUACACGAGUAGAGGUGAAAUUCGUAGAUAUGUGUAGGAAUGCCGAUGAUGAAGAUAACUCACUGGACAGCAACUGACGCUGAAGUGCGAAAGCUAGGG